rnacentral:rRNA from 1 species
UGGGGAAUAUUGGACAAUGGGCGCAAGCCUGAUCCAGCCAUGCCGCGUGGGUGAAGAAGGCCUUCGGGUUGUAAAGCCCUUUUGUCCGGAAAGAAAAGUUCUGGGUUAAUAACCCAGGAUCAUGACGGUACCGGAAGAAUAAGCACCGGCUAACUUCGUGCCAGCAGCCGCGGUAAUACGAAGGGUGCAAGCGUUACUCGGAAUUACUGGGCGUAAAGCGUGCGUAGGUGGUGGUUUAAGUCAGAUGUGAAAGCCCUGGGCUCAACCUGGGAACUGCAUUUGAUACUGGAUCACUAGAGUGCGGUAGAGGAUAGUGGAAUUCCCGGUGUAGCAGUGAAAUGCGUAGAGAUCGGGAGGAACACCAGUGGCGAAGGCGACUAUCUGGACCAGCACUGACACUGAGGCACGAAAGCGUGGGGAGCAAACA